UUGCCGUGCAGCCCAGACGGUCGGCAAACGAUCCACAUGGAGUGGCGGUAUUGAUCCCCACGCGAUCGCCACGUCAUUCCCCGAUCUCGCUCUCUCUCCGCCAUCAUCACCAACUCAAUUCAAAUUCCUUCACUACUUUGCGUGCAUCACACCCCAUUCUUUUGUCACAUUUCUACAUAAACAGAAUUUACAUUUCUGAUUUCUCUCUCCGACGAUCGGAUCUCUCUUCAUAGCAUCGGUUGAUUUUGGAAACCCUAGAAGGUUCCUGGCCUGCUGUUACUGUUGUCGCAGUGAAAUUUCUGGUUCUUGGCGUUUACUCCUGUACGUGUUAGAAGAUUUAUUAAUAAGAGGAUGAACCGACGGUUUCCCGAAUUUUUAAGACCAGAGAGAGAGAGAGAGGUGGGCCAUUAAUGGCGUAUAAAAUGUAUAUGAAGAUGAACUGAUGGUGGCGGUGGUGAUGAUGAUGGUGGUGGACAUUAUAAUAUCAGGGAAGAGACGGCAAGGCAGCGCGGAGGCGGAGAGGGAUCGGCUGAGGCGUUCGAGGCUUUUCGAUGCCGUCGCUGUCCGCCAUUUUCCCGAUUUGCUGCUUCCGGCGCGUUCUAUGCUGAUCUCGAGUUUUACGGCUAUUGCUUGCUAUUGAUGAUCGCAAUCAAGACGGCUGCCUGCAGAUAUACCGUAGGGUAUUCGAUUUCAAAUCAGGGUAUUCCCGUUUGGAUUUCAUUAUUGGAGUUGUUUAAGGAAACCAGCUGCAGAUUGGAUUUAUGCACAAUGCAGAGAUCUCGUAAGGCUCUUUUGCAAAGAAGAAGAAGUUUGGAGAAGGCAAUGUAUGGAAGGAAUCGAUUGUAUACAGUUUCUUUGUCUCUGCUUGUUGUUCUGUGGGGGCUUGUUUCGCUCUUUAAUAUCCGAAUGAGUGGUGGUGAUGGUUACAAUGAUGGAUCCCAAGAAUUUCUUGCUGGUGUGAAAACGUGGGAUGAAGAUAAGCUUGGACUUGAUAAGGGCUUCUGUUCUAUGAGAGAAAGCCCUUUAAAAUUUGAUUCUGAGGGUUCUAAUAAGAAUAUGUGCACAAAUGGGGCUGAAACCAAGUGCAGCAGUGGAAAACUGAAAGUUAGUGAAGCAAGUGCAAAUUAUAUUGUAGUUUCUCAAGAACGAUCAGAGUUAGAGAACACUGAUCUGGGUGAAAAAUCUGCAAGGGAUGCUUCAAAAAAUGACAAGCUGUCACGUGCUGUGCUUCUGGGUCUUGAUGAAUUCAAGAGCAAAGCAGUCAACUCCAAGAGUAGAUCUGUAACUGGUCAUGCUGGAAGCAUGAUACACAGAGUGGAGCCUGGUGGCACAGAGUAUAAUUAUGCUUCUGCUUCGAAGGGAGCUAAGGUCUUGGCUCAUAAUAAGGAAGCCAAGGGUGCUGCCAAUAUCUUAUGCAGAGACAAGGAUAAGUAUCUUCGAAGUCCAUGCUCUGCUGAGGGGAAAUUUGUUGUCAUAGAACUUUCAGAAGAAACCUUGGUUGAUACUAUUGAAAUAGCAAAUUUUGAGCAUCACUCGUCUAAUUUGAAAGAAUUUGAGCUGCUUGGCAGCACCAUUUAUCCAACUAAUACAUGGGUCAAACUUGGUAAUUUCACUGCUGCCAAUGUGAAACAUGCACAGAGGUUUGUUCUUCAGGAGCCAAAGUGGGCUAGAUAUCUCAAAUUGAAUCUUCUGACACACUAUGGUACAGAGUUCUACUGCACACUGAGUGUCAUGGAAGUGUAUGGAGUUGAUGCAGUUGAGAGGAUGCUUGAGGAUCUGAUGUCUGUUCAGGAUAAUUUGUUUGUAUCUGAGGAACGAGGUGGUGAGCAGAAAUCAAUGUCCUCCCCCCCAGGGUCCAUUGAGAGUGAUCUUAAUACUAAUAUUAAUGUUAAAGAGGAAACUGAACCUGCUCCAGAAAACGCUGAUGCAAAACGUGGAGUUUCUGUUAUGAAUGUGCCCAAUCCAGUUGAAGAAAUACAUCAUCAACAGACUGGAAGAAUGCCUGGGGACACUGUUCUGAAGAUACUAAUGCAGAAAGUUAGAAAUUUAGAUUUAAGUUUAUCAGUUUUGGAACGAUAUGUAGAAGAAUUAAAUUCCAGGUAUGGCAACAUUUUCAACGAAUUUGACGAACAAAUUGGAGAAAGAAAUGUCAUUUUGGAGAAGAUCAGAUUGGACAUGAAGAGUUUUCUUGAUAAGAAGGAGGUCGUGAAUAAGGAAGUUGGUGAUCUUAUUUCUUGGAAGUCUCUUGUGUCCAUGCAGUUAGAUAAUAUAUUCACAGAUAAUGCUGUUCUCAGGUUAAUGAGGUGACACUUGGCUUGCUGGACCCUUGAAGCUGUGGUUUGUGUAGCUCAGCUCCUUAAAUAGAAGUGGUUUGAGCAAUAUAGGCUUGAUGGCUCUCCAUUUGAGUUAAAAGAUUGCUGCCACCAUUGUGCCAGGGACCAUCUCUUUAAGACUUAGGAUGCGAUAGAGUCGGAGGUCCAAAAGGUUCAGGAGAAUCAGAUAUAUAUGGAGAACAAGGGAAUUGCAGUCUUUCUUGUAUGCUUAAUAUUUGGAAUUUUUGUACUUGUG